UGCUUAGCGACAAUAGUGCUGUAGACCCACCUGAUCCCAUUCCGAACUCAGUAGUGAAACGCAGUAGCGCCGAUGGUAGUGUGGGAGUUCCCAUGUGAGAGUAGGACAUUGCUAAGCAU
rnacentral:rRNA from 1 species